rnacentral:rRNA from 1 species
GACGAACGCUGGCGGCGUGCCUAAUACAUGCAAGUCGAGCGAGACUCUUCGGAGUCUAGCGGCGGACGGGUGAGUAACACGUGGGCAACCUGCCUGUAGGACUGGGAUAACACCGGGAAACCGGUGCUAAUACCGGAUAAUCCUUUUCCUCUCAUGAGGAAAAGCUGAAAGUCGGUUUCGGCUGACACUUACAGAUGGGCCCGCGGCGCAUUAGCUAGUUGGUGAGGUAACGGCUCACCAAGGCGACGAUGCGUAGCCGACCUGAGAGGGUGAUCGGCCACACUGGGACUGAGACACGGCCCAGACUCCUAUGGGAGGCAGCAGUAGGGAAUCUUCCACAAUGGACGAAAGUCUGAUGGAGCAACGCCGCGUGAGCGAUGAAGGCCUUCGGGUCGUAAAGCUCUGUUGUUAGGGAAGAACAAGUACCGGAGUAACUGCCGGUACCUUGACGGUACCUAACCAGAAGGCCACGGCUAACUACGUGCCAGCCGCCGCCGUAA